CCUACCACUCCCACUACAGCCCCUGUCCUCCCAUUACAGCCCCUACCACCCCCACUACAGCCCCUGCCCUCCCAAUACAGCCCCUACUGCUGCCCUCGCCCCCAUAUUCCCACUAUCCUCCUACCAAGGUCCUUAUCUAUAACACCACAGCCUCUGUCCCCCAAUUACAGCCACUAUAUCCGCACUUCAGCCCCUAUACACCAUUUUCCUCCAAACACAGCCUCUCAUCCUCCUCAACACACACACAAAAAAACUGUCUCUGCAACACACAACAGUUUCUAUAACCCCAAAAUGCACACUACACAAACAAACCCAGAUAUAAGCAACUCCUUAUGCAGCCUACACACAUAUACACCCUUUGACAUCACCAAUCAGGAC